rnacentral:tRNA from 1 species
GGGCCCGUAGCUCAGCCAGGGAGAGCACCGGGCUUUUAACCCGGGUGUCCUGGGUUCAAAUCCCGGCGGGCUCG